ensembl:lncRNA
GGGUGGGGCUGAGGGGAGCGUUGUGUUUGGAAACCAGCUAGGUAUUGAGAGGGAAGAAAUGAAAAGGAUGUGAAACUGAAUCUGUGGAUUUUGAAUUCUCAGCUGGGCUCUUCUUCAUCAGAGAAAUCUGGGACCAGGUCUGGGGCUCAGACAAUGCCAAGGAGGCGGCUUUGAUGGUUCCAUUUCCCUGGAGAACCCUGACUAGUACAAGCAGACUGUGGUGC